rnacentral:miRNA from 10 species
UUGGUGCAAAAGUAAUUGCAGUUUGUAUCAUUACUUUUAAUGGCAAAAACUGUAAUUACUUUUGCACCAAACUAAUUGUUUUA